rnacentral:rRNA from 1 species
AUUGAACGCUGGCGGCAUGCUUUACACAUGCAAGUCGAACGGUAACAGGCCGCAAGGUGCCGACGAGUGGCGAACGGGUGAGUAAUGCAUCGGAACGUGCCCAGUCGUGGGGGAUAACUACUCGAAAGAGUAGCUAAUACCGCAUACGAUCUAUGGAUGAAAGCGGGGGACCGUAAGGCCUCGCGCGAUUGGAGCGGCCGAUGUCAGAUUAGGUAGUUGGUGGGGUAAAGGCUCACCAAGCCAACGAUCUGUAGCUGGUCUGAGAGGACGACCAGCCACACUGGGACUGAGACACGGCCCAGACUCCUACGGGAGGCAGCAGUGGGGAAUUUUGGACAAUGGGCGCAAGCCUGAUCCAGCAAUGCCGCGUGCAGGAAGAAGGCCUUCGGGUUGUAAACUGCUUUUGUACGGAACGAAACGGCUCUGGUUAAUACCCGGGGCUAAUGACGGUACCGUAAGAAUAAGCACCGGCUAACUACGUG